rnacentral:rRNA from 1 species
UACGUAGGGGGCGAGCGUUAUCCGGAUUUACUGGGCGUAAAGGGCGCGUAGGCGGACAGUUUAGUCAGAGGUGAAAGCCCAGGGCUCAACCUUGGAAUUGCCUUUGAUACUGGCUGUCUUGAGUUCGGGAGAGGUGAGUGGAAUGCCGAGUGUAGAGGUGAAAUUCGUAGAUAUUCGGCGGAACACCAGUGGCGAAGGCGACUCACUGGCCCGAUACUGACGCUGAGGCGCGAAAGCGUGGGGAGCAAACAGG